CCCCUAGAUGUUCUGGGCCGCACGCGCGCUACACUGAACAGUUCAACAAGUCUUAACCUUGGCCGAUAGGUCUGGGUAAUCUUUGAACGCUGUUCGUGAUUGGGAUAGACCUUUGCAAUUAUGGGUCUUCAACGAGGAAUUCCUAGUAAACGCAAGUCAUCAGCUUGCAUUGAUUACGUCCCUGCCCUUUGUACACACCGCCCGUCGCACCUACCGAUUGAAUGGUCCGGUGAAAUCUUCGGAUCUGAGAGAUGUCUGAUUAAUUUCGGACGCCUUUUGGAAAAGUUGUUUAAACCUUACCAUUUAGAGGAAGGUGAAGUCGUANCA
rnacentral:rRNA from 1 species